UACGUAGGGGGCAAGCGUUGUCCGGAAUCAUUGGGCGUAAAGCGCGUGUAGGCGGCUCGAUAAGUCCGCUCUGAAAGUCCAGGGCUCAACUCUGGGAUGCGGGUGGAUACUGUCGGGCUCGAGUCCGGAAGAGGCGAGUGGAAUUCCUGGUGUAGCGGUGAAAUGCGCAGAUAUCAGGAGGAACACCAAUGGCGAAGGCAGCUCGCUGGGACGUGACUGACGCUGAGACGCGAAAGCGUGGGGAGCGAACAGG
rnacentral:rRNA from 1 species